rnacentral:tRNA from 1 species
GGAAGGGUGGCCGAGUUGGUUAUGGCGCCAGGUUAAGGUCCUGGUGGGGCAACCCGCGCGAGUUCGAGUCUCGUCCCUUCCA